CUUCAGCGAGCCGAGCCACAGCGGCUUCUGCGGAUCCCGGCCCUGUCCGUACGUCGCGAGGAGCGCCUGCGCCUC
rfam:Streptomyces yokosukanensis strain DSM 40224 genomic scaffold PRJNA299221_s018, whole genome shotgun sequence.